UACGGAGGGUGCGAGCGUUGUCCGGAAUCACUGGGCGUAAAGGGCGCGUAGGUGGCGCGACAAGUCAACGGUGAAAGCUCGGGGCUCAACCCCGAGUCGGCCGUCGAUACUGUUGGGCUCGAGCACUGUAGAGGCAGGUGGAAUUCCGGGUGUAGCGGUGGAAUGCGUAGAUAUCAGGAGGAACACCUGUGGUGUAGACAGCUUACUGGACCAUUUCUGACGCUGAGACACGAAAGCGUGGGUAGCAAACAGG
rnacentral:rRNA from 1 species